UGGGGAAUAUUGCACAAUGGGCGCAAGCCUGAUGCAGCCAUGCCGCGUGUGUGAAGAAGGCCUUCGGGUUGUAAAGCACUUUCAGCGAGGAGGAAGGUGGUGAACUUAAUACGUUCAUCCAUUGACGUUACUCGCAGAAGAAGCACCGGCUAACUCCGUGCCAGCAGCCGCGGUAAUACGGAGGGUGCAAGCGUUAAUCGGAAUUACUGGGCGUAAAGCGCACGCAGGCGGUUUGUUAAGUCAGAUGUGAAAUCCCCGGGCUCAACCUGGGAACUGCAUUUGAAACUGGCAAGCUAGAGUCUCGUAGAGGGGGGUAGAAUUCCAGGUGUAGCGGUGAAAUGCGUAGAGAUCUGGAGGAAUACCGGUGGCGAAGGCGGCCCCCUGGACGAAGACUGACGCUCAGGUGCGAAAAGCGUGGGGAGCAAAACAGGAUUAGAUACCCUGGUAGUCCACGCUGUAAAACGAUGUCGAUUUUGGAGGUUGUGCCCUUGAGGCGUGGCUUCCGGAGCUAACGCGUUAAAUCGACCGCCUGGGGAGUACGGCCGC
rnacentral:rRNA from 1 species